UUUACUCUACUUUGACAUGUUUUUUAUUCAUAACAAAUUUACAUUGUUUUAAAAUGAUUUACGCCGACGAGUGAUCAUGUAACAUCUAGAUAUAUUGCUUAUAGGCUUAACUAUCUAUUACAUAAUAAAUUAACAUUUUAUCCUUUCAUGUUUGCUUAUCUUUGACAUGCUUUUUAUUCUCAAUGAUUUUUUACAACAUUGUUUAAAUAUUUUGAUAAUUACUUUUUAAUAAAUAAUUGUGUGACACUUAGAUAUCAUGCCUAUAGGUUAAUGACAUAAAAUAAGUUAUUAUUUAUCGUUUUAUGUCAAUCACAUUAAUCAACUUCUUUAAUAAUCAAGAGUCUAACUUGGUACAACUAUGUGCUACGUGACAUCCUAUUUGUUUUGCGCUUUGAGUAUUAGGAAAACAUAGCUUUGUCUAGACCAAAAAUUCAAAUUAGUAAAGCCCAAUGCCUCUUGGGCGAUAAGUGGGACAAUAGGUACUUUAAAGAUGCUAGUUUUAUUCUUUCUUUAGAACGUUCUAGGAUUGACAACUAGCCUAGGUGGGGUGGGGCGGGUAGUCAUUCGGAAGUGACGAUCUCCAGAGACAUUACACAAUAUUUGACAUUGUUACUUGUUUAAGAAUUCGGCCAGUGUGUUGGAUAAGGAUUAAACAAGUUGGAGUUCUGAUUCGAAUGAGACCAAAAAUAUUUCUUUGUAUGAUUUGACGAAUUCUUUCUUUUCUUUACAUUUACUUUACAUGCUUGUUUGCUUGGGGUAGUUUAGGUCUUUAAAAUUAAUAAAUAUUUUGUUAUAAAUUAUUUUUCCUUCUUUCUCCUCGCUUCUCUACUUUACAUUAUUUGUUAUCCUUUUUAUCACCACCUAGUCAAUGAUUAGAAAUAAUAAGAUAACAUAUUUGUUUAUUCAUUGCUUUAUCACUUAGCUAACAUUAAGUUAAUAAUAAUUAAGUGGCCUUUAUUUGAUCAUGUAGAAUCUCCUCGUAAAAUACGAAUUUAGUCAGAAACCUCCUUUAUGGACCUUGAAAGGUGCCUAACACCUUCCUUUCAAAGUAAUUUGAACCCUUACCAGAAUUUCUGGUGAACUAGGACUAAAUAACAAAAUAGGUUCGUAGUUAGCCUAGAUUGGUGCCCUAACGCUCCUUAAUACGUUAGGUGGCGACUCUUCACAUUCUGCCUCAAAAUAAUUUCAAAAAGAGUAUUCACGUCGAAUCCCGCUUUUUACUAAGAAAAUAGAGCGCGACAGAAUGACGACUCUGAUGGGGAUCUUAGGUUCUAACCAUUACGAAUUUGUGCUUUAUGUGGGAUUCUCUCUAUUUAUCUAAAUUUUAUUUUUGAUAUUUGUGUAAUAUUGUUUAUUUUUUGACAUUACGAUUUAUUUUUCUACAUGUCAACCUUUUCCACUUUCCCUUUAUAUGUUUUUAUAUGUCCCUUCAUGUUUAUCUCCUUUCCUUUUAUAUUUGAUAUGUGUUGUGUUAUUUUUUUUGAAUUUGCUAUCAUACUUUUGCUAUGUGCUAUGUGUUACUACUUUAUAUAACUGGCAUUUCACUCAUACUUUCCUCCACUUAAAACCCUAUUUAUUUUCUCUUAUGAACGAUUGUGUGGUUGCAUGAACGUUCUUUCUUAAGACACCCUUUGGAAAAUGCCUUGUGGAUCGGUCGAUCAGCUACAUAUUUCUUUUAUUAAGGAAUAUGUGUCCCAUUCAACGUAGGAUGCCUAGGCAUCCUUGACGCGUUGAAUGUUAGUCUCAUUCAAAGUCCAAAGGGGUUCACGACCCCAAAAGGACGCACAAUUAUUUGUUAUGUGUUGCAUUUCUAUGUAUGUAUUACCUUUUUAUUUCGUUGUUAUCUUUGUCAUUCCCUACUUUAAGUGUUUCACGCCUUAGAACUCUUUAAUCUUAAAAUUCUUAUCGUGUUAGGGCCCUACAAUUAUCCUCUUGACUCAUCCGUUAGUAUAUUAAUCAUCUUUAGGCUCAACUUUUGCUUUGAUAAAGAGCUUUAGUCUUAUUCAUAAUCUUUAUCAUUUUAGGAUAUUCUCUUCUUAAUACUUUCAAUGCUUACAUACUAUGUCCUAUAUGAUUCUUUUGAUACUAUCGUACUCAUGUUGUACUCUAGCUUUCACAACCUCUAAGUCACAUAGAGCUCUCAUAACGUCUAUUCACUCCGAAUGAGCCUAACUCAUUAUUUUCAAAUGAGUAGAAUAUUUAUUCUAGACUCCCGCGCGUGUUCUUUGUUCCUAAUUAUAAAUCCUUUCUUAUAAGGUUGACUAAAGUUGAACAUUAGAAAUGGCCAGUCAAGUGAUGCUUAUCAAUCUUGUCAAUAGCAAAGCUGAGCACGAGAGUUUGGGGUUGCAUCAAAAUAAAGCUAUUUCGAGCAUCAGAAUGUUAGGAAGAAGAAUAGAGAGAAUUAGGGGGAAAAUGGUUAAUCUUUGAGGUUCAGUUGAAAUGCCACCAGGUUUUAGAGAGUCGUUAUCUAAAACAGACGUUAGCACUCUCAUCCACACCACGAAGUCCCCUAUACUGACAACUUCACCUACAUCUGAUUGUGAUACAUAUAUGUCCCCAAGUCAGUUUUCAAUUGCAUUUCUAAGAGCACUUAUUAGGUUGACAAAUACGAGUGAGGAUAAAGAGACGGAAGGACAGGUUACUAACCAUGAAGCAGGAUCAUCUUAACAACCCAUAAUGAAUAAGUCAUCCAAAUCAAGGGAAGAAGACAAGGAGAGAAUCGAGGGUUUGAAAAUUCCAUUAUAUGAUGGUUCGGGCAUUUCCAUUUGAAGGAUUACCUUAAAAAGCUAUCGGUUAUAGGACAAAGUGAUAGCCUGAAGACGAAACUCUUUGUUUGUUCACUUAAGGGUCCAGCAUUGGUGUGGUACGCCAAAAAUGGUACUAGCAAGUGGGUCUCUUGGGACCAUCUGGCAACUGACUUUGUUAGGCGGUUCGACAAUAAGCUAAAAAGGAAGCUCACAGUCGAGAAAAAUUUGGUUAAGCCACAAUCCAAGGAUAAGGGAAAGAUAAUCAUCAACGAGACAUCCAAAUCUCUAAAUCCUGAAGUAAGUGUACCCCAACCUCAAUUGAUAUAGUACCCAGCUCCAGAAACCAUUCCAAUAUCCAAUUAUGUCCAAGCUUGUUAUCCCAGAUCCUUCACAAAAUAUCAUCCUCAAACUGUUUGCUACCCAAAUUCAUCCGCUUCUUCAAAAACAAACUACAUUCCAUUUUCUUAUCAAGACGUACCCACGAAUCAACAACCCAUUCAAUCCUCCAAACCUUAACAUGAUCCCCAGAAAAAUUCACCAAAAUAGUACAUUCCUCUAGGUCAACCUAUGGAAUAAUUGUACGAACGACUCAAAGAUGUGGGCUACAUCACACCCAUUGAUGUCGUGCCUUAUGAUACCAAGUCCAGGAGGUAUUGCCCCAACCUAACGUGUGCCUACCAUUCUGGGGUGAAAGGACAUCCUACUAAGGCAUGCUUUUCCUUGAAGAUCAAGAUCCAAAAGUUGAUUAAAACCAAAGUGAUAAACGUGACAAGGUCAAAUUCUGAUGCUACUUAAUUUUCUAAGCUUGACUGGCACUUGUUGACAUUGGUGAAGAAGAUAUCAUGCUGAUUCUCUACUCCAGACUCCCGAACAUUUGAAAUUCCUUCAAGUUUUACAAUUUGUAGUUUUGUUUUACGUUUUCCUUGCUUAUGUAAUGUGAACUACGGUCAACCUGAUUCCCCUAUAUAAAGGAUACGUAGGCGCUCAUUUAAUGAGUUCGGUCUCAUCAUAAUAAAAUCUUCUUUUUCCCCAUUUUGUCAUUUUCUAUAUAUAGUUGGAUGAAUCAACAAUGUGAUGUUUUGAAUCAACAAACCUGAUGUUCAAUAAAAGUCGACCUUGUUCAUUUCCUAUCUUUCUUAUCUUCCUUACAAUCAUACUUGCAAAUUCGACAGUAUGUUAUAUCACUAUCAAGUUUCAUGCGUUAGGAGCUCAAAUCUUUAUGCCUAAAACGUUUAUUAAGGCUUAGUAUUCCUUAAAGAAUAACUUUUAUUUUGUAUUUAUUAUGUGUUGAACUUAUGCAUUGCUUGGUAAUUUUUUCCUUACUUAUUUUAUUUUAAGGUUGUCUAGCAUUUGAACAUCGAACUGAAGUGGCGAUCUGCAAUAUGACAAAUAUGCUCAAUAUCUGAAAAGUUUUCAGUUCUCCUUCUCAUCGCCCAAGGCAAAACACUAUGACUCUUUAUCCUCCCCUUACCCACACACCUUCUCAACAAUUUUCUUUCGCACGUGACACUUCUAAAAGUGAAAGGAUCAAUUUAGAUGAACGUUGGUAAAGGCUUUGUGACUAAGAGAGAAGGAUGAAUGAGAAACUGCGUUCUAGGGGUAUCUACGACUUAAGGUAUGAGAAAGGUAUGAGAAAUUAUGUAUACAUCCGAGGUUUGAGUUACCUCCAGGGUACAAAGUUCCAAAUUUCGAUGUAUCCGAUGGGCAUGGGGACCCAAUCACACAUCUGAAGGACUAUUAAGGUAGAUUAAUUAGCAUAGGACACAAUAAGUCUCUCCUAAUGAGAUUGCUUAUUUAGAGUUUGUCAGGAAUGACACUCACAUUGUUCGCCCAACAAGACUUCAACAAAUGGCAUAAUUGGGAAGAAUUGGUUUAAGAUUUUGUGAGGCAAUACAAGCUUAACAUCAAUACUAGUCCUACAAUACGGGAAUUACUCGAAAUAAAGAGAGUGGCCCAUUAAUCUUUUGAGGAAUAUACAACUCAAUAGAGGUUAGAGGCUUCUAAAAUACAUCCUUCUGUACCUGAGUAGGAAUUGGUCCAAAUUUCCUCAAGACACUAGAUGAAAUUUACUUUCAGAAAAUGUUCUUUCUGGUCAGUCACAGCUUUGAGAGUCCAAUUUCGAUUGGAAAGAAAUUAAAAUAUGAAAUGGAGAAUCCAUCCAAGGGAAAGAAAGAGGAUUCAUCGCCCUCCAUACCUCAAAUGCAAGGCUAUCGAUGUAAUAAAGAGACCCAUGUUGUUCAAUCCUACUCUGUACAACAAGAUACAAGACAUUCUCAAAAUAAGCAUAAAGUGCAUCACAUGAAUUGACGUUCCUAUUUCACGUCAUUAUUUUACCCGUCUUACAGCUAGUAAUAUUUUCUUGUUUUCUCUACAUUUCUUUGUACUUAUGAACUACAUGCGACCUGACUUCCAUUUGGAUACGUAGGCAGUCCACUUUGGGUUCGAUCGUAAUCUAAUAAAAUAUUUUCUUUCCCUCUCUUUCAGAUACACUUCCAAAGUGUCGAGCUACUAAGCCCAACUCCUGAGCAUAUUAAGGGUAGAUUAUAAUUGAGGCUACGAUAUUCAAAUGUAGGAAAAUCCUUUCUCUUGGAGUAAUAUUUUCUUUGAGUGGUAUAGGAAUAUCAGGCUCUAUCCAUUAUAGAACAUUUUAUUUUUUCAAAUUAACAUGUUUAUUCUUUGUCACCUUUACUAACUUGACUCUAUUUUUUUUUCUUUCUUUUUUUUCUCUAUCACCCCAAGGAUUGAUUCGUGCAUUCUCUCGCCCAUCUCAUCAAUUGAAAAAGCCUUAGUCUUCUUCUCUUAAAGCUUAGUCACCAAGACAAGGAAAUGGACGAUAACAACGAUGCUAAAAAUGAGCAUAAUGAGAUGAUCUUACAAAUGGAACAAAGGAUUCUUCAAUUACAAGAGGAAUUGUCACAAGCCCGUAACUUGUCUAAUCUACCCCUUACUUUGAAUGCUCCUCUCAAACCAUAAGUUGAGGGUUCACUGCUAUCAAAUCUCAUGCCACAUUCACGAGCCAUCCUUUACUAUCACUUCCUAUCUCACAACCCCCAAACAAUCUAAGUCACAUAUAUACCCCCAAACAAUCCAAGUCACAUAUAUACCCUUCCUAAAAAUAGCCAAUCUCCACAUUCUUGCCCACCAUAAUACAACACAUGCCUGGCUCCACUAAAUUCGCAAACAACAUCAUAUGUCCAUAAUAUACCGCCUACUUUUACCUCAAAUAUGCCUCAUUUUCAUGAUCAAAGAAGCCAUAGUUUAGAUCCAAAUUAUGUCACCCCAUUCACCCACCAUCAAUAUAAAUAUAAACCUCCAGAAAAAGAUGCCCUUAUCCAAUCUGUGGUUGAGUGGUUGGAACAACUUGAAUAUAGCAAGGGGUUGAAAGGGCUAAGUUAUGAGGACCUGUGCGUGCACCUUGAUGUUGAACUGUCGGAGGGGUACAAACCUCCUAAAUUUAAAUUGUACAAUGGGACUGGAGAUUCGAAAGUCCAUUUGAAAUUAUACUAUGGAAGAUUAGUAGGAGUUAGAAAAAAUGAGCAGAUUCUUAUGAAGCUAUUUAUGAGAAGUCUCACUGGCGAUGCUUUAUCAUGGUAUAUCAAACAAGAUACAAGAAAAUGGUUAAAAUGGACCGACAUGGCCUCUGAUUUCAUAGAAAAAUUUAGGUUUAAUGUUGAGAAUGCACAUGAUUGGUUCUACAUUCAGAAGUUAAAGAAGGAACCUACAAAAUAAUUUCAAGAAUAUGAAAUGACAUAAGACACGUGAAGCUUUUAAAGUGCGUCCUCCUUUAGAUAAAAAUCAAAUGAAGGAAUUUUUCAUGCGUGCCCAAGAGCCACAGUAUUAUGAAAAGAUGAUGCUUAUAGAUAUCGAAAGCUUACUGACAUCAUUAAAUUGGGUGAGAGAAUUGAAGAAUGCAUUAAAAAUGGCAUGAUAAUAAAUUUGGAGGGCUGUAAGAGACUAAGACUUCACAGGCUGAUGAGAACAAUGACAUGAAGGAUGUAAAUGUUGUCUUGACUACGCAAGAUCCUAAAACCCUUCCAAUUUACCAAACACCACUUCCUCUACUUCAAUACCAAACACCCAUAUAUCAAGCACCCUCAUAUCCAUUUUUCGCGACGACAUACUAUAACCUCAUACUAUCUUAUAAUCCUACUAACACUCUUGCACAACCUGCAUACUUCCAAAUACCUCUGACUACUUUCCAGCAAUCAUUAACUUAUCAAAAUCCACCAAUAAUUCUAUGACCCAAUCAUUCGUUAGACCUCGAGCCAAGCUUUAGAAAAAUCAGUCAAGAUAGUACACUCCUUUAGCGGAGCCUAUAGACCACAGUACACUCCUUUAGCGAAGCCUAUAGACCAACUUUAUGAUUUUGGGCCAUAACAAGGGAUCCGGUGUUUUUUAUUUUAUUUUGGAUUGAUUUGGCCCAAUACAUGUAAUCUUAUUUUAGUUUGAUUGAUUAAUAAAAUCCUUAUUAAUUAAAAAAAAAACUAUAAACCAACUUUAUGAGAGAUAAAGGGUUGAUGGCUACAUUACCCCAAUUCCUGCAAUUGCGAUGAAUACAUGUGCAAAAUAGAUUGAUCAUUUCAAAGUAUGUGCUUAUCAUUCAGGUAUAACAAGUCACACCACAAAGGAAUGUCAUGCUUUAAAGGACAAAAUUCAAGCGUUGAUUGAUACCAAAGUGAUAAAUGUGACGGGGUCAUAUCUUGACAUUGAUUAAGCGCCGGCAUCUACGUGACAUUAAUGAAGGGAUACCACGUCGUUUCCUCAUUUCAGGCUCUCAAGCACUUGGAUUACGAUAAUCUUCACAAUAUGAAUUUCUCCUAUAUAUUAGAACAACGUUUGACCUGAUUCCCGUUUAAGAGGGAUACGUAGGCACUCCUAUGGAGUUCGGUUUUAUCAUAAUGAAAUUUUUGUAUUUUCCUAAAGCAUGUAACUGGUGUUGACACCUAAUUUUGUUCCAUCUUUCUUUCAAGUAUUUCUUCGCGCUUCGAAAUAAUUUUAUAAUUUAAAAAAAAAUGCAUGUAUGUUACUUAUAUAAUUAGGAGUUUAUGCAAAUCUUGCCAACAUUUGUAUUUUAAAUUAAAAAAAAUCAUCGACAAAAUUAUUAUUAUUAUUAUUAUUAAUCACCAUUACUAUUUAUUAUUAUUUCUAUUAUAUUUCAAAUUAUCGUCGUGUUUCCUAUAAACUUGCACAAAAGACAUUAUAUUUACUUUAUCUUUUAUUUAAAUGAAGAAAUAUUUUUGUGGUUUUAUAUUUUAUAAACACUAUCGUUCGACUCCGACAUUUGUCACACAACUUUGUUCAAAUGCUUAUAUUUUAUUAUUAUUAUUAUUAUUAUUAUUAUUAUUAUUAUUAUUUAUUUGGGUGUUUUUAAUAUGUUUAUUGAAAGUGUUAUUUCUAUUAAUUUAGAAGUCCAAAGUUUAUAAGAAAGAAAGUGUUUAAAUCAGCCCCUUUCCUUUUUUAUUUCAACAACCACAGCCCAAAUAAAAAACACCCACCGAAGCAGCAUUCAACAAUACACCAUACAAACAGACCCUCUACAACAUAUGUGUAGCAGCAACAGCGUACAACACUGACAUCAACAGCUGUUGAAAACAGCGAACAACAGCAACAACGUACAACACUAGCAACAAUAACGCACAACAAUUUCAACCAAACGAACCUCUCUCUCCCCAACGUCUGAAUUUUGCAGACCUUGAGCUUUGUUAUUUGAUUUUUUUUGCAGACCUUGAGCUUUGUUAUUUGAUUUGUGUUCAAAGAUAGAUUGCUUGUUGCUCCAAAAUCUUAUCCAAAUCAGAGGUAUCACAGUCAAUCCAGUUUAUGGGAUAUGUUUUCACUCUUUUUCUCAACUUUUUGUCAAGUCCCAACCACUCCUCGACUAAAACAGACUCUAUUUUGAAUUUUAAUAGAGAUUUUUUUCAAUAUAAAUAGGAGUGGAUGCUUCCAUUUGGCAGCAUGGGUUUUAAGGGGAUUCUUUGGGGAAAAAUUGGAGAUUUUGCAGGAGCAUUCCUCUAAUCUCACGUAACUAAAGAAUUCAAGAAGGAAUUCCAUUGAAAAAAAUAAUUCCGGCAAAUUGUCGAACUCCGGGGAAACUAAUCGGAACCCCAGUGGUGAAAGUUCGUUUGAUUAAGGCCCGUUGUCCCGGCUUCUGCUCGAAAAAAGGUAAAACUUCAUCCCUUUGGCAUUUCCUUCUAUGUUUGUAUUAAGAAAUCUAAACGAUGGUUAAAGUGGGAUACGUUUGGAUGGAUAACUAGAUAUAGAUUCAAUUGGUUUGGAAUGUUCAUCCCUUAAAUAUUUGAAUACGUGAUUCUUUUCUUUUUUUUUUCAUUUUGUUUAUUUAUUGAUUUAUUGGCAUUUGUGUGUACAAACUAAUGGAGAAUGGCUGCACUGUUUUUUGUUUACUGUGGGUUGAAUUUGUUUGGAAUCAUCCAUCUCGAAAAUUUAUGAAUUUGAAUUGCCCUUUCCUGUGCAUAGGUUGAGUUUGACGGGGAAAGGGUUGAUGAUUUUGUUCUUCUUUAAGUCGCGAUCUAAAGCUGCUCAUGAAGUCAUUAUAAGCAUGAUUAAGGCCAAAACUAGCCUCUAUGAAAAGAAAUAUCUGAUUUUAGUUUGAGAAUCGUUAAAAAAAAACUUACUUGUUUCAUGACCUUCCCUUCUAGUUUCUUUAACUGAAAAUUCGUGUGCGCCAUAUGUUUUGUUGGUUCAAGGAGGAACGAGAUCAUGAUAAAGCUCUAGGAGGAAUCUGGAAUAAAGAUUGCUACUGCGUAAAACUUAUUGAAACUCCCACCACCCUUGCUUGCUUUUCCACUAGCUUCCUGUGUUCUAAGAGCAGGAAGAAGAAAUAAAUCUACUAUUAACAGGAUGAAAUAGUUGUUAAGAUGCUUGUCUUGUUACUUUCCUAUUUAGACAUUUUGUGAAAGCAUUUUUUGUGGAUGAAUGCUGAUCUUCUACUCGUUUUCUUUUUCAUGUGGAUCCCCCGAGUCCACGCGACUCCAAUCCUUGCUUCCCUUCGGGCAAAGUCAAUUUCACUGAGUCGAAAAUGGACUAAUGCAUGAAGGAAAUGGACUUAUAUAUGCACAAGCAAGCUGAUAUACAUUAAGAGGUAGCAGCUGCAUGUUAUACCGUGGUUUAUGAUGAAAAAUAGAGUCAAAAUAUGCAGCUUACCGCACUGAUAUACACCGUAUACGCAGUGGUAUACCCAAAAACGCAGGAAAUAAGCUGCUGAUAUACAGGGACUAAUCCAAAUCUGGACAGCUUGCAGCAGUGGGCCACAAGCCCAAUUCCAAAUCUGGGCAGCUUGCAGCAGUGGGCCACAAGCCCAAUUCUUCUUCCCAACCCUUUUAUUUGUUUGCAAUUGAUUAUUUGUAUUUGUUUUCAUAUUAACACUAAUCUUCAAUUAAUUAAGUAUAAAUAACAUAAAUACCAACCUUUUGAAAGUAAUUACACUCUCCCCACCUUUUUAAUUACUUUGCUCUCUCCCUAUUAAUAUAUAUAACAUAGUCGACAUAUACAUAGCAUUCUGUGUAUAUGUUGGGAUUUUUGUAAUAUGUUUAGGGAGUUGGAAUUUUUUGUAAUAUUGGAAAUAUAAGUUGUGUGUUUGUAUAAUUUUUAGAUUAAUUAAUCUAGAUAAACUCCUCAAGAUAUCGCCAUUUUUAGUUUAGCUUCAUUUUUCCUUUCGUUACUUAUUUGAAUCUUCUUUUAUUCUUAUUAUAUGUUAUUUUUAUGAAGCAAAAUGAAUUUUAUGUUAAUCUUUUUGAAUACAAACCUUUUCACAAUAAAAUGACUUUUGUUUGUUCAAACAAUAAUUAAUCUCAUUUAGGUUAAAGAGAGUUUUCUCAAGCAUGAAAAGAAAUAAGUUUUCUUAAAUUAAAAAGUUUAAACUCUUCCAUAAUCUAUUAAAUGUUUCUUACUUAAUAUAUUAUUUUAAAAAUCUAUCAUUGUUAGAAUCAAGAUUUUGAAUUGACAUUGACCAUAAAGAAUAGAUUUUUCUUAAAAAUAAUAAUUUUCCUCAAAACAAAAUAAAUUAUUAUUUUCAUUAAAAUCAUAGUUAAAAAAUGGACUUUUAUUUAAAAUUUUCUUUAGCUUAAAACUUGAUGAAAUAAAAAAUGAUAUUCAAAAAUCGCUCAAUAUAAGUUUGAUAAAUUACAAAAUUGUAAAGUUAGUCAUUCUUUUUAAGUUAGUCAAAAAUAAUCUUUUGGUGAACCGUUUUAAAACGGAUGCUCCUAAGUGCUUCAAAAGUCUUCUUAGGGCGUUAAUUGAACCCUUACUUAGUCUCUCUAAUUUCAAAGAUUUAUUUUUAUUUUUGAAUCUUUGGUUUUCUUGAUAUUUUUCUAUAAAAAUCACCUGGCGACUCUGUGAAAAUUAUUUCAAAAUCUUAUUAAAUUUUUUUGAAAUAGUUUAAAAAAGUCAAAACCAUUUUCUCAAAAACGAAACUCGAAGAGGGAUAAAACAGAAAUGACAACUCUACUGGAGAUGUAUCCAGAUUCUAACCAAAAGAAAUUUUUCUAACUUCUUGUUGCUAGUGAUUACAUGUUUAUUUGUUAAAUUACAUAUAAACUGGCAUUCCGUUCAUAUAUCCUCCACUUCAAAAAAUUGACAGUCACACACAUUGUACACGCAGAUUGUACAUGACUUCCCCAAAAAAAUUUUAAAUCACCUAUUUUAGAGAGUCGGCGCAUACGUGGGGUAAGCGGGAGUUUUACUGCCGUGGGACCACGUGCCUUCUCAUAUAGGAAAGUCAAGUCCGUGUAUACCCAAAUCUUAAAAAAACUUAAGAUAGAGUGUUGUCAUCCUUGAUUUAGGCCAUGCAUGCAUAAGCCAUAGGUGGUUUGACCCAUGGUAUCAUUUCGCAAAUUUAGGAGACGCCUUUAUGUUAAAAGGGUUCACGACCCGAUGAUGACCUUCAUAUUAUGUGCAGAUAUAAUGAUAAAUUGAUCCAAGUCAAAUUUUGACCAAAUUGAGUUUGAAAAAUUCUAACUCCAAGCUCGAGUAGUGUUAUUAAUUAAAUCUUGAUCAAUUUAUCGAAAUCUCAAUUAUUUGACGCUUAGGCCUACCUCCGGCAUAAAGGAGUCACCUGCAUAUUAGGACGUAUUAUUUAACAUAUUUACGUUAUUUGUCUUGCAAAUUUGCUUGUACAUGCUAGUUGACCUACAUGAAUUUAUUUGCAAUUCGAUUUGAUUUGAUAUUUAUUUGUUAUUUUCACCUUUGUUUUGUCCUUAUUUUUAGAUAAGAAAAUUAAAUUUAAGUAUCUCUUUAUUAUCUAUCACAUUUUCACAUAUUUUAUAUCAUGACAUUUCUUUAAAAUUCUUAUUGUAACACUUCUGCGCUUAACGCAUUUUAACGAUUCAAGAGCGCUAUUUAGGAAAUUAUCUUCAGUCCAUCGAAUUCUUAAGUAUUUCAAUUAAGGUUUUCUCCCUUUUUCAUUUCUUACGAUCUCCUAUAGGGUUCACAUUCUUUCUUCAAAAUUGUAAUGAGCUUAGUUCGUUAUUAUUUAAUUUUUUGAGAUUUCAAUACUUAUGUCAGCCACUUGUUAAAAAACAACCUACUCUGUUAAUGUUUGCAUAAUUCUUCGCUAAUAUCUCUGCUAAAAACAUUCAUUUCAUAAUUUGUCAGAUUCGUGCUUAGUCAAAUUUUACCAAACUCGUGCUAAAUUCAAACUUUUGAAUCCUUUAUCUUUUCAUGCUCUUCCAAGUCCGUCUUUUACUGUGUAAUCUUCUAUUUGUAACGACGGAACAUUCAGCACUCUGUAGUAUGUAUUUAGUGCUGAUCGAUGUCAUAAAAUUUUCGCUCAUGCUCUCCAAUAUUUCCAUUCUUUCGUUGGCCUUCAGUUCAUUCAUUGCUUCUUAAAUUGGUAGAUAUCCAAAAAAAAUUUGCUCAAACUGUCAAAGUCGCACUUGACUUUAGUUGUUUAAUUUUCUCCAUUAAAUUGUUUUAGAGUAACAACCCUAAAUUUGUUACUUCUUUAAAGUUUCAGUCAUUCAAAGGGCAUGUGUCGUUCCUAUCUUAACAUUAUUGGGAUUGAUCCUCCAUAUUUUUUUUAAAACUCAAGCUUUAGCGCGUAAAUCAAGAAAAUUCUAUUAUUUUCUUCAUCUUUGAUAUUCUUUUUUUUAUCCAACAAUAUUAAGCUAGAAUUUUGAGUCAUUCACAAUCCUUUGUCUUAUCAAAGUUUAAUCUUUGUGCAUUCUAUUUUUCUUAUUAAUUAUCAUCUUGUGCUUAAACUCCUUAUAGGACUCCUCUUAGGUUCUUUUAAUCACAUUUCUAAAUGCUUCAUUUCUAAUAGCCUUUAACAACUAUUCAACAAUUAUCGAAUGUUUCUUUCUCCUUUCAAAGGUUGACUUAAGUUGAUCACCAAAGGCAACUCAAGAAAGGUAUGGCCGAUCAAAUUGCUGUGAUUGACCUUUUUAAGGAUGAGUUCGACUCCGAAGAACCAAAGUCAUAUCAAGAAAAAGUCGAUAAGCUUGAGACAAAAGUGUCACAAAUAGAGCAAGAAUUGACAACAUGCAGGAAGUGAUAGUCAAUCUUAAGAAUUCAUUUACUGAAGGCUCAGAAGCAUACUCCCUCUUUGGCACUGCUACACCCACAUUUGAUUAUAAUGCCCAAUUUUUUUCUAACAUGUACUCAUUCUCGCCAAAAGAGACAUUCAACAACUUGGCAGAGACGAGCAAAAAUGGAGCUAAUGAUGAAAGACGUUUUAAUAUUGAGACUAAUCAAAUUUUCUUUACAAAUGAGCUUGUUUUACCUUUUGAGAUGGAUUAUGAAAUAUUCCGAUGUAUGACGGGGCAGAAAAUCUCGUAGACCACCUGAAGGCAUAUGAUGAUUGGGUGAGAACUAUUGGACAAGACAAUGAAUUGAAGAUGUUACUCUUUGUUAGGACACUUACAAGUCCAACUUUGAUAUGGUAUGCAACGCAAGGUAUGUGGAAAUGGUCUUCUUAGGACAACCUUGUCGAUGAUUUUUUCAGGCAACAUAGGUCUUCCAGUAGUAUUUCUAGAGGGGUUGGUUCAUCUAAAAGGAAGUCUGCAGAGUUUCCUAGGGGUCCAAAAGGAAAAGAACCAAGCUCAUCCUUUCCUGCAAUUUUUACAAGGACUUACAAUUGAACCUGGUAGAACUCCAGCAAUGAUUUCCUUGAACAUGGAAAUGAAGAUGUAGUAGGAUCCUUUUUAAAUAUGUCAUCUAGGACUUAUGUAGAAGGAUGAUCAGUUUUUGGGUAGCAUCAUUUUUGGAACAAUUAUAUAUUAUUGUAUUGAUCAAUCCUUUGUAUGUUUUUAAAUUUUCUUCUAUGUAUAUUCUUUUAUGUAAGUCGAACUACGGUUGACCUGAUUUUCUUGGUGGAUACGUAGGCAGCCCACAUAGGGACUCGGUCAUAUUAGCCUAGGAUUUAAACAUCCUCUUUGCAUGUAAUUGGAACUACAUUCGACCUGAUUUCCUGUUGGACACAGGAUAUGUAGGCAGCCUACAUAAGGCUCGGUCCCUUUAUUAUAUUUUUAUUUCUGCCCCAUCCCAAAAUAAAGAAGGAAGAGACUAGGGCAGAACCUUGACAUUACAAUCGAGGCAUCAUCAUCAAAGCAUCCUAAAGACUGGGAUAAGAUUUUGGCACGCAAGAUGAGGUAUUAUCAUCAAAGCAUCCUAAAGACUGAGACAGGAAUUUGGUAAGCAAGAUGAGGCAUCAUCGUUAUAAUUGUCUUUAGAUUGGGGCAAAUUUUAGGAUACGUCAGGGUUAGCAAGUAUAAGGAUCAAGCUAGAGUCAAGCUUUGGUAUUCGACAUGGGUCAACCUUUCUUCCGAUUACUACUCUAAAUCAAUUGAUACUUUUCUUUUACAUCUCAAGCAUUAGAGCCUAAUGGCUAAGAAGUCUCUCAAUCCACUCAUUCCGCAACUAAGUUCGUCUUUUUUAGUCUAGACCUCUUACUUAAGCUCAUCACAGAUUAAUCUUUUUAUUAUUAUUCUUAUUCUUAUUCUUCUUACUAUUAUUAUUAUUAUUAUUAUUAUUACUACUACUACUACUAUAUGCAUUUCACAUGUUCUAACACUUCAUUUUAUAUUAAAAUUUCAUUUUUUUUUAGAGAUUGUCUGGUAUUGAACAUUGUUUUGACUUUGAAUUUGCGCUGAGGAUGAGACGAUAAUGGCAAAUAGGUGUGAAUCAUCUAAUUUCGGUUUGGGUUUAGUGCAAGCAUGGAAUGAUGAUAGCAAGAAAGAUGUGGCCCGAAGAAACAUUUUUGUCAAUCUACCAAGUGUUUUUAGCCUUCUUCCUAUCACUAUCUCGACUCCCAACUCAACCAAAAAUAUUUGUUUAGUCAUAUAUCCUUAUCCAACUCCCACUUAUACGAUCUCUUCGUAAAUGCAAUCAAUAUAUAUACUACCAAUCUCAAAAAUUUCUAGCAUACUAUGAUGCCAAAUAUCCAUUCUUCCACAAUUGUUCUUCCUUUCAAGAAAAAUAAGUAUAAACAGCUAUCAGUCUGUCAAACUGCAAAGCGUCGAAAGGAGAUUCUAUCAAUCCACCACAAAAAUUUAGGUGAAGAGUUUUACAAUCUGAGAAAAGCACUUGAUGAAGAGUUGCGCUUAAGAAAAUACCAGAGUCUAAAAUAUGAAGAUUUGUCUGUACACCUGAAUAUUGAGCUUCCGCCAGGGUAUAAGCUACCAAAAUUUAACAUUUUCAACGGGAAAGGGGAUCCCAUUACUCACUUAAAGGACUAAUGCAGUAGAUUAAUUGAAAUUGGACAUGAUGAAGCCAUACGAAUGAGACUAUUCAUUCAAAGUUUAUCAGGAUUGGCACUCGCUUAGUAUACCAAGCAAGAGUUUAGCAAAUGGCGCACGUAGGAAGAUAUGGCUCGUGACUUUAUAAGGCAGUAUGAGUUUAAUAUUAAAGAUGGUCUGCACAUGACCGGCUUGCUCAAAGUGAAGAAGAUACCGCAUGAAUCCUUUCAAGAAUAUGCCAUGUGGUGGAGAUUAGAAGCUUCAAAAAUACAUCUUCCACUUCCCGAGGAGGAAUUGAUCUCAGCCUUUAUUCAAAUUCAUGAAGGCCUAUAUUUUGAUAAGUUGAGUGGGACUUGUGCAUGCAAAUUCUCCGUUUUGAUUCAAAUUGGCAAAGAGAUAGAAAAUGGCAUUCAAGAAAGGAAAUUUGUAGAAGCAAUAUAAGUUGUUCAUCCUGUUUUCAACUGACGACAUCUCUAAAUCUACAAAGUUUAACCAAUUCAGCUUUUGUGAAUCAAUCACAAUGCCAUCAAAGUCACCAAUUUUCACAAUCUCAUGCUUUUUCUGACCUUCACAACACGUAUCUCCAGCCUCUUUGUCAGCAAAAUUUACAAAAUAGAUCCCAGAAAUAACUUAUUCAAGCAUAAUCUACCCCGCGGCCAAAGAAGAAGAUAAAAUCUUUCUCCUUCACUCUUUUAGGUGAGCCAUUAGUCGAUAUAUUUGAGAGAUUGAGAACUAAGGGACUUCUGCAACCCAAAAAGGGAUUCAUACCUAAGUAUCCAUCUCCAAACUUUGAUUUAUCCAAAAUUCGUGCCUAUCAUUAAAACAUUCAAGGACAUGAUACUGAAGAUUGUCUAGCACUAAGAAUCAAAAUUCAAAGUCUUAUUGAAAGUGGAAAGAUAAAGCUGCAACAAGAGACUCCACUCAACAAUGAUAAUGAUGCAAACAAGGGAACAAUUUUUGUUAAGGGUGAUCCAUCGAAAUGGGCACCAAGGCAUUUGAAAAGAAAGAGGGCAACAAACCUAGAAGACUGAUAUGGGCAUCAUUUUGUGACUUGAGAAUACCAUCUUCCUCUUCCCUCCUUCAUGAGUAGUUGCCAUUUUGUAAAAUCAUCCUUCUUUUUGUUCUUCUAUGAGUAGCUACUAUUUUGUAACUUAGUAUCACUCUUAUUUUCCUCCUAUAUAAGCAGUUAUUAUUUCACAAUCCUGUCCAGACUUUUUAUGAACUACGUUAGACCUGAUUUCUGUUAGCAACGAGACAGGUAGGCGCCUACUCUCGGUUCGGUCACGAUAUCAUAAAAUUUUAUUUCUCCCAUAGCUAAAACUGGGACAACCUUGCAAGUGACCUAUCACUAUUUCGGCAAAGCAUAUAUUUAAGCUCGUGACCACACUCGCAAUAAUGCCAUAACUACAAGAAGUGCAAAAUCGAAGUCAAAAUUUUGUGGUUCAAUGCAAGACAAUCAAUUUCUUUUAUACUAACAAGUUUUCUUCGAGUAUGCAGAUGUUGAUUGUUCUUGAAGGAUAACAUAUGCUAGCAAAGCACAAGAAACGCAAUGCGAAAAUGAUACAAAAUACAAUGCGAUCUAAAUUUCAAAACUCAUAAUUCUGUUUGAGCGCAGGAGCUUCCUCAUAGCAAAAUACAUCGAAAAGGAAAAUCCUAAAUUAUGGGUACCACAUUAUGAAUAGAUACAUAAUGUGGCAUUGCAGCAUUAACAUUUGCUAUCGCAAAGGCACCGUGCUUAAAUAUUCAAUACUACAACAACACUACAGAGAGUUUUUACUAGAACGAAAAAAUUUUGCAUCAAGCCCUCUACACUGCAUUAAUAUUUGCAAAGUUACAAUAUAUAUUAGGUUUGUCCACUCUAAAAUAGGACACUAUGGGUUUAUCCACCUUAAAAAAGGACACUAUGGGUUUGUCUACCCUAAAAUAGGAUAUGUUGGGUUCGUCCACCCUAAAAUAGGACAUAGUGGGUUAGUUUUCCCUCAAAUAAGACCCUUUUUCAUAUUUGCCUUCAAUUUUACAUUUAUUCUUGAAUAUAUCGCAAUGCCUUAAUCAUUUAUUUACUUUUAUAAUUAUUAUUUUAAUUAAUUAGUUAAGCAUCGUAUUCUAUCCUUUAAAUUUUCUCAAAAUUAUUAGAGAAAAUCGCACCAAGCACUACAAUACACUUUCGGUUCGUCCACCCUAAAAUAGGAUGUUAUGGGUCGGUCCACCCUAAAAUAGGAUGCUCUGGGUCUGUCUACCCUAAAAUAGGACACGUUGGGUCCGUCCACCCUAAAAUAGAACAUAAUUGGGAUAGUCUGCCCUCUAAUAAGACAUUAUGCAUGUUGCCUUUGGUUGAAUAUUUAUGUUUGCUUGCCUUUCAUUGGACAUUUUGCAAUGCAUUUAUCAUUUAUUUAUUUUAGUUUGAUAUGCAUUGUAUGCUAUCUUUUGAAUUUCUUGAAAAAUCAAGUUUAAUUAAUCAUUUAUCUUUUAUUAAGCAUUGCUUUGCAGUUUGAUAAAAUAUUGGGUCCGCCCACCCUAAAAUAGGACAUAUUGGCAUUUUGGAUUCAUCCAUUUUAAAAUAAGACACAUUGGGAUGGUCUGCCCUCUGAUAAGACAUUUUUAUGUAUAUGCCCGCUUUCAAUUGAAUAUUUAUGCUUACUUGCCUCUAAUUGAACGUCUAGUGAAGCCUUAUUAUUAUUUAUUUAUUUAUUUAUUUUAAUUAAAAAAUGCAUGUCAUCUUUUGAUUUCUUGGAAAAUCAAGCUCAGUUAUUCAUUUGUUUGUUAUUAAGUAUUGAUUUUGCUAAUAUUUCUACUUAGAUUGAUGAAUUUUACUAUCAUAGAAUUUGAAGUUGUUACUUCUAAAAUACUGCACGUUCAACCAAUCACAUCUAGAGAAGCGAUGGAUGCAUUUUUCUCAUAGUGUUUCUGUAAGAAUUUUAUUUAUAUUUUUCUCUGUUUUUCUAAUUUACUUUGUUUGCUAAAUUUUUUAUAAAGACUUGGCAGGAAGAAAAACUCGUAUGCAGAAAAUGAGACAUAGCACAACAUGGAACUUUUUCAUAGCAGUAAACUGGGACAUAGUCUAAAGAGGAAUAUCAAACUCUUUGAACGCGAGCUAAAAGAGAUGACUUCCACCACCAUCAAACCACAUCCCUAUCAGAAGGCAUGUGGAAAUUUUUGGGAUUUUUGUUUCAAUAUCACUUUCGGAGUACUUCUAAACUCAUACCGAGGGUAACCUUCUCUUUCUUUCAAAUCCAAGUGACAACACACUCAGAGUUUGGAAAUUAUAUCCAAGUAUAGUCUUACCUAUGGAUGUGAAGAGCUCCACAUUCAUGGUUAAGAGGUUACAAGCCUCAUUUCCGUAACUCAAUUUUCUGUCUCUCAUCCUAAGCCAAAGGUCGUCUUAGCAUAAAAGACUAUACUUUCUACUGAUCGAGUCGAACUACAGGCAGUCUGAUUCCCUGAGUCUUAGGGAUAUGUAGGUUAAGCUCCAUGUGGAAAACUUGAGUGCAUUCCAACCUCCCCCAAAUUCGCUUAUUCCCCAGCUUUCUGAUUUGACUAAAAUUCAAAAUCGGAAUAGCUCGUGAAUUCUUUGAAAUUAUGCUAAAAAAUCAAGCAUUGUGAACUAUAGGUGGACUAAGUUUUCAUGUAACCCGAGAUAUGUAGGAAACUCAGAAAUCAAAUUUCGGCCACAAUCCUGUCUAACAUUCAUCAUACAUAUCCUCCUAGAUCAUAGCAGCUAGGACAAAACUAUGUUACUAGUCAACUUCCUUUUUUGGAAAGAGGGACAACUGUUGACACUCAAUUUUGUCCCAUCUUUCUUUCAAGCAUCUCUUCGCGCUUCGAAAUAAUUUUUAUAAUUUUAAAAAAGAUGCAUGUAUGUUACUUCUAUAAUUAGUAGUUUAUGCAAGUCUUGCCAACAUUUGUAUUUUAAAUUAAAAAAAUAAUCAUCAAUGAAAUUAUUAUUAUUAUUAGUAUUAGUAUUAGUAUUAGUAUUAUUAAUCACCAUUAUUAUUUAUUACUAUUUUUCUCAUAAUUUAAAUUAUCGUCGCGUUCCCUAUAAACUUGCACAAAAGGCAUUAUAUUUACUUUAUUUUUUAUUUAAUUGAAGAAAUAUUUUUAUGGUUUUAUACUUUAUAAAAACUAUCGUUCGACUUCGACAUUUGUCACGCAACUUUGUUCAAAAGCGUAUAUUUUAAUAUCAAAUAAUUAUUUUAUUAUUAGUAGUAGUAGUAGUAUUUAUUUGGAUACUUUUAAUAUGUUUAUUGAAAGUGUUAUUUUCUAUUAAUUUAGAAGCUCGAAGAUUACAAGAAAGAAAGUAUUUAAAUCAGCCCCUUUCCUUUUUUAUUUCAACAACCACAACCCAAAUAAAAAACACCCACAAAAGUAGGCCAAAUACCCACUCCAACAAUUAACCCAUUAUGCCCACUUAACACACCAGCAAAAUCGACCCAAGCCCAGUGACCAUGACCCGGCCCACAUCUAUAUUCCCCUUUCCCUUAUCAGCAACAUUCAACAAUACACCAUACAAACAAACCCUUUACAACAUACGUAUAGCAGCAACAGCGUACAACACCAACAUCAACAGCUGUUGAAAAUAGCAAACAACAGCAACAACCUACAACACCAGCAACAAUAACGCAUAACAGUUUCAACCAAAUGAACCUCUCUCUCUCCCAAACGUCUAAAUUUUGUAGACCUUAACCUUUGUUAUUUGACUUUUGUUCAAAGAUAGAUUGCUUCUUACUCCAAAAUCUUAUCCAAAUCAAAAGUAUCACAGUCAAUCUGAAUUUGUGGGAUAUGUUUUCACUCUUUUUCUCAACUUUUUGGCAAGUUCCUAACCACUCCUUGACUAAAACAGACUCUAUUUUGAAUUUUAAUAGAGAUUUUUCCAAUAUAAAUAGGAGUGGAUACUUCCAUUUCGGGGCAUGGGUUUUAAGGAGAUUCUUUGGGAAAAAAUUGGAGAUUUUGGAGGAGCAUUCCUCUAAUCUCACAUAACUAAAGAAUUCAAGAAGGAAUUCCAUCGAAAAAAUUAAUUUUGGCAAAAUUAUCGAACUCUGAGGAAACUAAUCGAAACUCCAGUGGUGAAAGUUCAUUUGAUUAAGGCCCGUUGUCCCAGUUCUUGCUCGAAAAAAGGUAAAACUUCAUCCCUUUGGCAUUUCCUUCUAUGUUUGUAUUAAGAAAUCUGAAAACUCAUUAAGACGAUUAAAGUGGGAUACGCUUGGAUGGGUAACUAGAUAUAAAUUCAAUUGGUUUGGAAUGGUAAUCCCUUAAAUAUUUGAAUAUGUGAUUCUUUUUUAUUUUAUUUUAUUUAUUUAUUUAUUAGCAUUUGUGAGUACAAACUAAUGGAGAAUGGCUGCACUGUUUUGUGUUUACUGUGGGUUGAAUUUGUUUGGAAUCGUCCAUCUCGAAAAUUUAUGAAUUUGAAUUACCCUUUCCUGUGCAUAGAUUGAGUUUGACGGGGAAAGGGUUGAUGGUUUUGUUCUUCUUUAAGUCACGAUCUAAAGCUGCUCAUAAAGUUAUUAUAAGCAUGAUUAAGGCCAAAACUAGUUUUUCCCCAUCUCUUGUUGUAUGAAAAGAAAUCUGGACAGCUUACAACAGUGGGCCACAAGCCCAAUUCUUCUUCCCAACCUUUUUAUUUACUUGUAAUUGAUUAUUUGUAUUUGUUUUAAUAUUAACACUAAUCUUUAAUUAAUCUAGAUAAACUCCUCAAGAUAUCGCCAUUUUUAGUUUAUCUUCAUUUUUCCUUCCGUUACUUAUUUGAAUUUUCUUUUAUUCUUAUUAUUUGUUAUUUUUAUGAAGAAAAAUAAAUUUUAUGAUAAUCUUUUUGAACACAAACCUUUUCACAAUAAAAUGACUUUUGUUUGUUCAAAUAAUAAUUAAUCUCAUUUUGGUUAAAAAGAGUUUUCUCAAGCAUGAAAAGAAAUAAGUUUUCUUAAAUUGAAAAGUGUUAUGGUAUAUAUCAAUUAUAGUGAAUGACUAUCAAGAUCUAUUUAAUGUCUAUUGGAAUUUGAUGUAUCCGUCUUUUAGUGUGUAACUAGGAGCAUAUUUUUUCUAUAAAUAUAAGGGCUUCCUUCAUUGUAAAUUAUCCCCCAGGAGAAGAAAUAAGAAUUACUCUCUCUAUUCUCUCUACUCUUCUUCUUUAUUCUUUCUUGUUUUAUAACAUGUUAUCAGCAACUGAUUCUACCAUCUCAAAUUUGAAGGCUAAGGUUAAGGUAUUAUUUUUUUAUUCCUUCCCUUUUUCUAUAUGGCUAACAAUCUUAUGAAGUGUGAGUUCGUUCCCUUUCAAAGUUCGGGAAAGAACUGUAUUUCAUGGGUGUUGGAUACUGAAAUCAACCUAGAUGCUAUGAGUCUUGGAGACACCAUAAAGGAUGAAAAUACAGCAUUUAGUCAAAACCGUGUUAAGGCUAUGAUUUUCUUGCAUCAUCAUCUUGAUGAAGUUCUGAAAAUUGAAUACCUUACUACUAAGGAUCCACUCGUAUUGUGGAAUACCUUACUACUAUAAGUCUGUUCAUGAGUACAAUUCUGCCAUGUUCAGAAUUUCUUCUCAAUUGAAACUAUGUGAAGAGACGGUCAAUGAUAAUGAUAUGAUGUAAAAGACGCUCUCCACUUUUCAUGCCACGAAUGUGCUAUUACAAUAGCAAUAUCUAGAUAAAGGUUUCAAGAAGUAUACUAAACUGAGUUCUCAUCUUCUCAUGGCUAAACAAAAUAAUGAUUUGUUGAUGAAAAAUCAUGAGAACCGACCAACUGGAUCUAUACCAUUUCCUGAAGUGAAUGAUGUGCACGCUCACCAUGCUAGGUGUGGAAAAGGUUGCAGCCCUGGUCGUGGACGUGGUCAUGAUGACCAAGAAAGAAAUCCUGUUCCGUGUGUUAAUCAGUCAUCGAAUAAAAAGAAAAAAAAAGAAACGUGAAGCAAUUACUUAUUUCCGAUAUGGUGAAAAAGGACAUUAUUCACGUGAUUGUCGUGCUCUCAAGCACUUGGUUGAUCUUUAUCAAGCAUCACUAAAAAAGGAAAUGAGAGAAAUUCUGAGGCUAACUUUCUCUCUGAAAAUGUUGUUGAUAUCACAAGCUUAGAUGUAGCAAAUUUUUUCGAGCACCCCAAAGGAAAGAUUGAUCACUUGAUUGGUGAUAGUUCCGUAAACAUGGAAGAAUGAGUGAUUUUUAAUUUUUUUAUUAUUAUUGAUAAGAAUUAGUUAAUAAAGAAUCAUGUAAAAGUAGUUGUUUGCAUGAGUAUUAGUUUUUGGUUUGUAUUGAUUAGUUCAAUUAUAUUAUUGUAUUUUAUUAUUGAAUUGAAUGGAAUUUCAAUUUCUUCAUUAUUAAAAAAAAAGGGACGCUACGUGCUAAGAAACAGAGAAAAUGUGUUGUGUGUCAUGCAAACCAAGCACUCCACAUAUUUUUUCCAUGUUAAUAUUUUUUUAAUAUCAUAAUGUACACAUAUUGUCAUUAAUCAUCCAUAUGUAUUUAGAUUAUAUAAUAUAAUAAUAUUAGUAUAUUCUUUAUAAAAUAUAAUAUAAUAAAUUGCAUAUUAACGUACUGGACAAAAUGUAAUAUGACAAUAUUAUAUUAUUAUUGUAUAUUAUUACAUGUUAAUGUUUCGUACUAUUAAUUAUAAUAAUAAUAUUGUAAUACCCCGAGAAUCGCAACCAAUAGUAGAACCAUGAUUCAAGCUCAUGAUAAAGAAAUCUUAGUUAUUUGGUAGUUUUAUGAUCAAGUUUAAUGUGUAUUAAGGCCUUAAAUACGUCCUAGCUAUUAGACGAAUCAAAACAUCCCUUACCGAUUGAAUUCUUGAGAAGGACAUUGCCAUAGGCAUCUUCAAAUGAGCAUAUCUCCCAUUAUACAAAGAAUUUUGGAGCUCAUAACCUACCAACAGGUAGAGCAUUGAAUAAGUUGACCAUCGAUACUAAUUUCAUCAAAAUCUGACAUCGGAUGAAGAAGUUAUGGCCGUUUUACUGAGUGUGGUUGGAAUCGCCUAGGUUUGACGGUCGACCUGGUGGACCGUAAAGUCCUUGGCGGACCAUCGAUCGUCCUGUAAAAACAUGGCAGUGACUCCCUUUUUUGGCUAUCAUGCGACGGCCAAAAUGGUGGACCGCCAAAAAUCUGACAGACCAUCAAGGGGACCGUCAAGUCGAGGCAGAAUGUCCCAUUUUUAGCCCCCGAGUGACGGACGAUCUGGCGGACCAUCAAUUUCCUAAUGGAUCGUCACUUCGACCAUCAUGUCGAGGCAGAAUGUCCCAGUUUUGGCACCAAAGUGACAGACGAUCUGGUGGACCGUCAGUUCGACCGUUACAGACCCCGAUCAGCAAUUUUUAACUCUCUUUAAAAAGGCAUUUUGGUCUUGUAUAUCUAUAUAUAUAUAUAUAUAUAUAUAUAUAUAUAUAUAUAUAUAUAUAUACACAGGUGAGAAAACCUCAUUUUUANNNNNNNNNNNNNNNNNNNNNNNNNNNNNNNNNNNNNNNNNNNNNNNNNNNNNNNNNNNNNNNNNNNNNNNNNNNNNNNNNNNNNNNNNNNNUAUCUCAUUUCUCUUCCAAGAAAUAUCUAGAAUCUAGGGUUUCUCUCCAACCCAAAAUCCAAUCUUCUUCCAAGAAAAUUCAAGAAUCUUCCAUAGAGUUUCAAAGUGUUUCAAGAAUCAAACUCUCCCGGUCAAAGGCUUCAAGAAUCCUAAUUCAAGAGUGUAAGAAGGAGUCAAAAACAAGUCUCUUCAUCUUAAAUUCCUAACCCAAGGUAUGUAGAUGUUGAUUCUUGGGUCCCGCUCAUCCAAGAAGCUCAAGAACCCUUUUUAAAAUAUAAAGACUUUAUGUUUGUGAGAUUCCAUGAUUUGUAUGAGUUAAAAUUGAUGCUCCAUGUGAUGUUGGUGAUAAACCCUCUUGAAGUUGCUCUCUAUGUGAUGUGUUCAUGACUUUUAGGUGUAGAAUUGGCUGAAUAAGCGAAGCAUGUCCCCCAUAGGUUUGAUAAAAGCUUAGGAGAAGCAUAUGGGCCAUUAUUGUUGACACCUCAUUUUUGCCCCCUAUAACUAAGUUUAAUUCAGAGCUUCUUCGAUUUUCAAAUAAAAUUAUAGCAUUUAUUUUAUCUGAACAAAAGAUUUUCAAAAUAUUUAUUUGGGUAAAAUUGUAAUCUUAAGUGGCGAUUAUAUACGUUUGUGUUCAAUUAUAUGAAAUUUUAUAAAUUUGUUACUUAAAAAUUUCAUUUUUACAAAAUAUCGAAUUCCAGUCAAAGCUUAUUUUGAAAAUGAUUUCAAAUGAUUAAAAUCUGGAUUUGAAUAUAAUUUGCUCUCGAAAAUAAUUUAUUUGGACAAAUAUGUGUUUGAUUUUUAUUAAAUUAAGAAGCUCGGGAUUAAACAAGUAUUUAUUUCGUAUCGAGUUUCGGGUCAAUUUAGUCACAUUAUCAAAUAUAACCACAAUUGAAAUCAAGUUGACCACAAUUGCAAUGCAAUUAAUCAAAUUGAUAUUCAAAAUGGUUAGUAUUUGAAUGAAGCUUUCUAAUUUAAUUCGACUACUUUUUAAAGAACCUUUCUCAUUUCUAAUCUCCCAACAACAAGUUUUGGGCCUAUCCCAGGCAACAACAAUCAGCCUACAGUGGCCCAUUCCCUCCUUCAUUUUUUCAGCAACACCACCCCAAUAUUAUGUCUUACCCCGGCCCAGUACCAUGUUUUUCCUCUUUCCUUCAAGAACCAGUACAAUAGCAAAGACCCAUUUCAACACCUACAACUCUCCUCAACCUGAACUUUGAUCUGAAUCGCGACAACAACAUCAUGAACCAUUGAUCCAUGUCCAACGAUGAUACCUGACCCCAUCCCAUUCCUUUUUCACUGUUGUCACGCGUUUCGCGCAUUCGUAGGACAGGAAACUCCUUGAACGCUCUAGAACAAGCCAAGGUAUCUCUCCCAACGGCUCAAAUCCACAAAUUUUGGGAUAACUCAUACGGAUUCAUACAUAUUUGGUAAAUUUUCAUUGGUUUUUGGGUACAUUUUUGUCUUUCCCACAUUUGAUUGGUCCACUGGUUUCGGAUUUGUGGAAAGAAAAUCCAAAUUGGUUACGACCCAGGGAGGCUAGGGGUUUUAAAUUUCAAAUUCCCUCUGAAAAUCCCUAAAAUCUCCCCCAAUUCCCGUCUUCUAUAUAAGAACGGAUUAGGUCACAUUUUGAGAGGUUGGGGAGAGAGGUCGAGGAAGUUGGGGUUCAAAAAUUAGGGUUCAAAAAGGGGUUUCUUUGGAUUAGGAGAUUUUCUGAGCUAGUUAGGUCAAAAACCAAAAGAGUGCAAAAACUUUCUUUGAUUGAGAAGAAGAGCAGGAGGAAAGCAGAGAAAAGGGUUUGGGGAAGCGGGGGAUUCUUAGCUCUUUAUAGAUAAUUUUCCUUCUUGUUUCGAAAUUGGGGUAUGUGGAAAAUGGUGGUUUCAAACCUUUCUCUGAGAAAUUUAGGAGUUUGAAAAUUGAGGGUAAGAAUAGAAGAAGGAAAGAAUUUUUUGAUUAAAGAUUCAAUCUGUGCCUAUUAGGAAUUCUGUUCCCAAAAAAUUGGUUUGCCAAUAAAGUUCUGAAGCCAAUUACGAUACUUUUUCGGUGGUAGCAAAUCCAGAAUAAGCUCGAGUUUCGUUUUGCUGCUCCCUUGAGGGUAAUACCCUUUUCCAUUUAAGAUUUAUCUGUUUCUACUUCAUCUUGAUCUUCUAUAGUCGUGAAUAAAUUUUUUAGUAUGAUUGUAUGCUGGGUUAUUUGCUGGUAGAUGGCUUUGAUAGCCGUAGGUAGUUGUUUUGGUAGAUUUUUUAUUUAAUACUCUUAUUUUUUUGUGAAAUUCUUAAGGUUUGUAUAGCUGACUUUAUGUUAAAGUUUCAUGUUCUGCGAUUCUGUUUGAGUUGCUGGUAUUUUGUUAAGGCUGGUUUUGUUAUUUAAAGUUUCAUGCUUUUGAUUUUGGUUUGAGUUACUGGUAUCCUGUUAAGGCUAGUUUCGUGGCUAAAGUUUGAUUCUGUUUGGUCAUUUCAGACUGCUGGUAUGUUAUCAUGGUUGGCUUCAGGGUUUAAAGUUGCGUACUUUGAUCGUUUUGGGUCGAUGGCGCCCUAUUCUAGCUCAUCUUAUUUUAAAGUUUCGGGUUUUAUUCUUAUUUUGAUAGUUUUUAGGUCGAGGGUGUUUUGUUCAUUGUUGGUAUUUAACGCCAUCUUAUUUGUUGAGACUUCCCCAUGAGUUCUUUGGCUUCCCAAAUGACAAAAAAUGACGAGGAUACGCUCGACACAAACUGACAAAUCCCAUGAUCCCUCGAUGACCAUUUUGGCUAUUAGAACUCGUUUGAGUUUGACAAAAGAGAAUGAGGAUGAUAGUAGUGCCCCGCCACUUUCCUUUUAGCUUUAUCUGCCAUGUCUUUUUUUGUUUGGAUUCGAAUCUUUUAUCUUUCCUUGUCUCUUGAGCUUGUUGCCAAUACAUGAUCGGGUUAGGGAGAUGAAUGCAAUAAUGGGGUAUUUUAGUAUGUUUAUUUAGAAGGAAUGGCCUUAUUUUGUUCUCCUCAUAGAAAUGGAGCAUCACUGUUGUAUGUCUCUUUGAAUACCUACUAUCAAUGGAACUUGGAUUUAUAGGUCAAUUUCACUUCUUUUAUGUGUUUCAAUCAGUCUCUUGACUAGAUAUGGGGUUACGUUUAGGUAUGAAGUUCUCAAAACAGCUUGCAAACAGUUUUCUCCUGUCCCAUACAAUAUGAGAGUAUCAUAGAGUGUGGUAUAGAUUGGUUUAUUUGAAGCACAUGACUGCAUUUCGAUUUUAGUGUUAGAAAUUAAUAGUGUUCUUGAUUUAAGUGAGACCCUCUUUGCUUUUGUUGAUUGGAUUGUCCUGUAUACUGUACAACAUACAAGAAAAGAGGUGAAACGAACUUAUCUUGGUUCAUCCAUAGCAUAAAUUUAAGUAUCUAUUUUUGGGAAUUAUCUUCAGCUCUUCAUUUUUGUAUUCCAGUUGAGUGUUUUGAUAGCCAACUGAUAAAAUUUUCUUAGUUUCUGUGUAUUCCUUCUCAUAAGUAAGCACCGGAACCUAUCGUUUUGUCAAAAGGAAUGGACUGCGAUUUACUAUUAAUGUACGGUCCUUUAACAAAUGUUAUAGCAUCCCUCUACUGCAACAAACAAAACCAACAUUACGUCAUAUGCUCUCAUCCAAUGGUCAUUACAUGCGAUUAGAAAAAGUGACUGUUUACUAGAAUUCUUUCAUGCAUAUGCAUACUUUCAUGCCAAAGUCCAGCAUAAUAUGGCGUGUUCUCUUUGAUCUUUAUGUUAAAUGUUCAAAACCAAUUAAACACAGUUGCAUGUCGUAUAUAUCACUAAUCUAGUAGCUAAGUUUCCUUUUAUGUAUCGAAGUAGUGAUUUUUUUUAAUAGCUUUGAACUUUCUGAAUUUUUUUGUUAUAAAAGUAAUUCAUUUUUAUGAACGCGUAUUAAUUCAUAUAUCUUUUCUUUGCAUGCACCCUCCUUGGAGUCCAAAUGGGCUUCUUCUCUCUUUGUAUUUCAUAAAUAGGCCAAUGAGGCCUAUCUUUUCGAGUCAAGCCCGAAUGAAAGCCUAAAGUUAAGCACGUGGCAUAUGGUACGAGAAGUCAAAAGAGGAAUAAUGGAUUAAAAUCUCAUCUUAGAAGCGACUAAGGGAUUAGAAAGUUUCUUUUCUUUUAUUUGUUUAUUUAUUUUGUCAUCUUUUUUUAUUUAUUUGUUUAUUUAUUUAUUCCUUUAUUUCAUUUGGGCCUCGAAACCAAAGUUGUAAAUUUAAUGUAGGUGGAGCCAGACUCGAGCCAAAGGCUCAAAAACUAGACUAAGACAGGUGAAAUGGGUUGAAAACCCAACUAGAUUAGGACUGGGCCGAUGGUUUGGGCUUGAAAGCCUAAAUCACUACUUCCCCGCUUUUCUCUCCUUUUCCUUUCGUUUACUUAUUUACAUAUUUCUUUGCGAACUUAGUUAAAAUCCCAAACUAAGUCGCCUAAAAACUGGCUUUGUAUAAACACUAAAAUAUCCCUAAAAUUGCUUUUCUUUACAAAAAUCAACUUUUUUUCCAAAGUUAGUCAAAGCCUAUUUUCAAACAGUCCGGAUAACCGCAAGUUAGCGGACGUUUUAGGUGUCUAACACCUUCCUAAAACGUUAAUAGGAACUGCUUAUCUAGAAUUUCUAACUUAAAACGAUUUUCCUGUUUUGAAUCGUUUGAAGUAACUCUCUAAAGGUUUCUUAAUUCCUUUUUAAAAUUAAGUGGUGACUCUCAACAAGUCCAAAAUUUUCGUCAAAACAAUUAUAGUAUGUUGAAUAGGAAGCCCCAAAUUGUGAGCUAGUCUAUGCAUGCCUAGUGUUUGAUAAAAUGCCUAAGUGAAUAAAUUAUUCCAUAAUAGUAGGAAAUCCCUAAAUAAGUGUGAAACUAUGCAAGUCUAGUGUUUGUUGAAGGACUUUAGUGAACAAGUGGAGAUGUGAUAGUAGUAAAUUCCCCAAUUAUAUGCUCUUUGAUAUAUGCUAAGUUUUUAAUACAUGCCAAGUGGUUAGCAAGUAAGUUGUGACGAUGAACGAAUGAUUGUGAUGAUACAUGAAUGAUUAUGAUGAUGAAUGAAUGCUUGUGAUGAUGAAUUAAUGAUUGUGAUAAUGAAUGGAUGGUCGUGAUUAUGAAAGAAUGAUUAUGCUUUACUUUUAUGUUAUCGAGUCCUGGGAGUAUUUAUACCCGACAAUAGAGAUGUUGUCUAGAGCCUGUGUCAGUUUCUCGAUAAUUCCAAUCGAGCCAUGAUUCUCAGAACUUAGUGAAUUAUAAACUCUGUAUCCUCAAACAGUUGCAGAACUUAAGAAAGCUCAGUAAUCUCAGUUAUCUCUAUAAUCUCUGUAUCCCUAGUAAUCUAGCCUCAGUCUUGUAAUCAGUUUAGAUCUAAAAGUAUUCAAGUGAUUAAAUUCUAAUCUCUGAAGCGAUUCGAGUAAUUUAUUCAAGCUAUGUAUCGUCAGUCAGAUACCAUGAUUCGAUACCAUUUCCAGCAAAUACGAAAUUAAGUGAUUUCAGCUUAUUCAUUCUUAUCCUUUGAUAAACAUGAUCAGUAUCAGAUUUAGUUUAGUUGUUUUCAGUUAAGAAUUCAGUUCAGAGUCUUUCAAUUGGGAGUAGAAACAAGCACCGAGCAAAAGAAGGGAUGGCAGAUCCUCUCGUCAGCGAGAGAGAGAGAGGCCAGAGUCGUUAGUGGCAAUCCCCAAACUCCAGAACUACAUAGCCAGCACAGAAAAUAGGAGUUACCACCAGAAAAGGUUGUUACCUCCAGAGAGAGAGUAUUGACUAUUAUAUUACCUUAGGUCGACUGCCUGAUAGGGUCAUUCGUCAAAGAGGAUUGACCAGAGAGAGGUCUUUACCCGUGGCAUGGUAUUGACACCCUUCCAGCUGGGAUUAUAGGUUGGACCCCACCUGUGGUAGUUCGGGGCAUGUCAGUUAAGUAACUACUUUCCUCAGUUUCAGUUUCAGUCUCAGUUUCAGAAAUUAGGACUGUUAGAAGCAGUCAUCUAUCAUUAUGAGGAACUCAGAUAGUUCCAUCGAUUCAUGGACUAUCCUGACAAAUAGGCUUGGUCACGUAUACAGUUAUUUGAAAUCAUAUUCAGAGAUAUGCCGCCAGAUAGGCUUGAUUUACAGUCUCAGAUUUUAUUGAGUAUCCUUAUUUUUAGAUCCGAAUAUAAUCAUAUUUCUUAUAAUUGAUAAUAGUUUUUGAAUAUCAUCCGUUAGAAAGGUUGAUCUCUAAUCCUGUCAAUCGAAAGCAGUAAAGCUUAGAAUUUAGUCCUUGAUGUAAGUACAUCCAGAUCCUCAGUUCUCAGUAUCAGAUGAGUCAGUAAUUCGAUAUCUCAGUGUCAGUACGGAGUUCAGCCUGCAGUAAAGUGGUAUCCGAGUUUCAGUACCUAGAGUUGUGAUGAUUGUGUUUACGGUCUGUCCAUUCAUGUAUGUGUUCUCGUGCGGCAUCUUCAUGAUUAUUCAGUUUAGAUAUUGUGUAUGUAUAAACCCUUGCAUUAGCCUACCUCGUCUACAUACUCAAUACAUUUCUGUACUGACGCAUUUGCGCUAUGGUGUUUUAUUUGGCACCAUAGGUUUAGAGGCACAGGAUCCAGAGUAUCCUCAGCAAUUCAAUCCCAGUUAGCAGCAGUAGCAGUGAGUCCUUUUCUUUCGAGGAUGAAUCUCAGUUUAUUUAUAUUGCAUCAGAUUUUGUUUAUAUUUUUUUUGUUGACAAAGUUAGUUGGGGACCUGUCCCAUCAACUCCACAGUUCAUACAGUUUAGAGGCUUUUCAGACAGAUGACAGAUGUAUUAGUAUUCAGUUUUCAGAGUAUGUAUAGAUGUGUUGAACCUUAUGUUAUUUGGAGUAUGUCAUUUUAUUUGAAGAUAUGAAUAAUUUUCAAAGUAAGCCGUCCAAUUAUGAAAAUAUUUGUUUGAUUGAUUCUGGCACUACACAUACGAUAUUAAAAAAUGAGAAAUAUUUCUCUCAUCUGAACAUGGGCAAGAUUAAUGUUACUACAAUUUUUGGUAGUGCUAAUUUGAUUGAAGGCUUCGGAAAAGCCAUUAUAAUCUUGCCUAAGGGAACUAAACUCAUCAUAAAUAAUGCUAUAUUUUCUGCUAAGUCUCAAAGAAACUUGAUAAGUUUUUAAGAUAUCCGUGAAAAUGGUUAUCAUAUCAAGACAAUUGAUGAGAUGAAUCUUGAAUAUCUUUGUAUCACCCAAAAUAUCUCUGGGAAGACAUGUGUUAUUGAAAAGUUCUUUGUUUUAUCUUCUGGCCUGUAUUGGAUAAAUAUUUAUGCAAUUGAGGCACAUUCUAUAGUAAACCGAAAGUUUACUUAUUCCAAUACUUUCGUACUUUGGCAUGAUCGACUAGGACAUCCUAGAUCUAUAAUGAUGAGACGAAUCAUAGAAAAUUCUAAUGAACAUAUAUUAAAGAACUUGAAGGUUCUUUCAAAUGGUGAUUUUUCAUGCAAUGCUUGUUAUCAAGGCAAGCUGAUUGUGAGGCCAUUGCCAACAAAAGUUGGGACUGAGUCCCCCGCAUUCUUGGAAUGCAUACAUGAGGAUAUUUGUGGACCCAUUUACCCACCUAGUAGGUCAUUUAGAUACUUUAUGGUCCUACUAGAUGCUUCUUCUAGAUGGUCUCAUAUGUGCCUUUUGUCAUCUCGCAACUUGGCAUUUGCAAAAUUGUUGGCACAAAUAAUACGAUUACGGGUACAGUUUUCCGAUAAUCAAAUUAAGUUUAUUCUCCUUAAUAAUGCUACAGAAUUUUCAUCCCAAGCAUUUAAUGACUAUUGCUUAUCGAUUGGGAUAAGAGUGGAACAUUCUGUACCCUAUGUUCACACUCAAAAUGGUCUUGCUGAGUUAUUAAUUAAAUAUUUGCAGUUGAUAGCAAGACCAUUGCUUAUGAAAACUAAGUUGCCCACUUCUGUUUGAGGUCAUGCAAUUUUGCAUGCUGUAACACUUGUUCAUUUUAGACUGAUAAAUUAUCAUAAUUUUUCUUCGUAGCAAUUGAUUUUGGGUCAAGAGAUUAAUAUAUUUCAUCUGAGAAUUUUUUGGUGCGGUGUUUAUGUGUUUAUAGAACUACCAAACCGCACCAAGAUGGGCCCCCAAAGAAGGUUAGGAAUUUAUGUUGGGUUUGAAUCACCCUCCAUUAUUUGUUAUCUUGAACUAUUAAUAAGAGAUAUGUUCACUACUCGAUUUGCAGAUUGUUGAUUUGAUGAGAUAGUUUUCCCAAAAUUAGGGGGAGAAGGUAGUGACAUCAAAAGAGAAAUUUUGUAGAAAAUCCAUCACUAUCUCAUCUUGAUCCACGUGCUUCUAUUUGUGAGCAAGAAGUAUAAAAGAUUAUUCAUCUGUAGAAAAUUGCUAAUCAAAUGCUGAACGCAUUUACAGAUUUGAAAAGGAUCACUAAAUCACAUAUUCCUGCAGAGAAUGUCCCAUAUCGAUUUGAUGUUCCUAAAGGACCAUCCACUAGUGUCAUAGCUAAUGAAUCUAAAGCACGCUUAAAGUGGGGAAGAUCAUUAGGUUCUAAGGAUCGAAAUCCUACUAAAAGAAAAACAAAUGGUCAAGAUGACACUACGAAAGAUCCUCAUAUGUAAGUUCAAGAUUUAAGCAAUGUUAAUAUUUCUGAAGGAAUUAAUGAGCCUGAGACUCAAGAAAAUGAGAAACUAUCCAUAAAUUCAAGUGAUGUUGAAACUAAUUUGAAUCGAUCUAAAAUAGUAGUGGAUUAUGUCUUUGCAUAUAAUGUUGCAACAAAAAUCAUGCAAAAUAGUGAGGAUCUUGAACCUCGAUCUGUCACAGAAUGUCGAUAAAGAAAUGACUGGUCAAAAUGGCAAGAAGUAAUUCAAUCUGAAUUGAAUUCACUUGCCAAACGUGAAGUUUUUGGACCCAUAGCUCAAACACCUAAUGAUGUUAAGCCUGUUGGCUAUAAAUGGUUCUUUGUGCAAAAAUAAAAUGAGAAAAAUGAAAUACAAAGGUAUAAGGCACGCGUUGUUGCACAAGGUUUUUCACAACGGCCUAGUGUCGAUUAUGACGAGACAUAUUCACCAGUUAUGGAUGCAAUAACAUUGCGUUAUCUUAUUAGUUUCACUGUCCAUGAGAGACUUGAAAUGCAUUUAAUGGAUGUGGUAACAGCCUAUCUAUAUGGAUCACUUGAUAAUGAGAUAUACAUGAAAAUUCUCGAAGGAUUUAAAAUGCCGAAAGCAUAUAGUUCAAAGCCUCGAGAAAUAUAUUUCGUUAGAUUGAAAAGAUCAUUGUAUGUUUUGAAGCAAUCUGGACGUAUGUGGUAUAACCGUCUUAGUGGAUAUUUAUCUAAGGAAGGUUAUACGAAUGAUGAAACUUGCCCAUGUAUUUUCAUAAAAAGAACAACGUCGGAGUUUGUUAUACUUGUUGUCAAUGUUGAUGACAUAAACCUUAUUGGAACGCUAAUAGAACUUCAAAAGUCAAUUGAUUACCUAAAGAAAGAAUUUGAGAUGAAAGAUCUCGGAAAAACAAAGUUAUCCCUUGGUUUGCAAAUUGAGUAGUUGACAAAUGGUAUCUUUGUCCAUCAAUCUGCCUACAUAGAAAGGGUAUUGAAAUGAUUCUAUAUAGAUGGAGCACAUCCACUAAGUACUCCGAUGGUUGGUCGAUCACUUGAUGUGAAUAAGGAUUUAUUUCCACCUCAAGAAAAGAAUAAGGAAUUCCUUGGUCCUGAAAUACUAUAUCUCAGUGCAAUUGGUGCACUAAUGUAUCUUGCAAAUACUACAAGGCCAGAUAUAGCCUUUUCAAUUAAUUUGUUAGCAAGGUAUAGUUCUGCUCCUACUAGGAGACAUUGAAAUGGGAUCAAACACAUAUUACGGUAUCUAAAAGGGACUACCGAUAUGGGAUUAUUUUAUUCUAAAAAUUACAGUUCCGAUGUUAUUGGUUAUGCUGAUGCUGGGUACUUAUCUGACCCGCAUAAAGCUUGGUCUCAAAUAGGCCAUGUGUUUAUAUGUAGGGGUACUGUCAUAUCUUGGAGAUCAACAAAGCAGUCUAUCGUAGCCACUUCAUCGAAUCACGCUGAGAUUAUAGUUAUUUAUGAAGCAAGCCGAGAGUGUGUGUGGUUGAGGUCCAUAAUACAUCUCAUUUGAGAAAAAUGUGGCUUGAAAUGUGACAAAGUAUCCACGAUUUUAUAUGAAGAUAAUCCAGCAUGCAUAGCACAACAUUAAGGAGGAUUCAUAAAAAGAGAUAGAACGAAGCACAUUUCUUCUAAGCUCUUUUACACACAUGAGCUCCAAAAGAAUGGUGAUAUUGAUGCACAACAGAUUCGUUCAAGUGGCAAUGUGGCUAAUUUAUUCUCCAAGUCUCUUCCAACUACAACUUUCAAGAAUAUGGUGCACAAGAUCGGAAUGCAAAGGUUCAAGGAUGUUCUUAUUAGGGGAGCUAAUACGCGUUGUACUCUUUUUCCCUUACGAGGUUUUGUCCCACUGGAUUUUUCUUGUAAGGUUUUUAAUGAGGUAGCCUAUAUAUGUAUUGUUAGAUAUUCAAGGGGGAGUGUUAUGAUAUAUAUUAAUUAUAGUGAAUGUCUAUCAGGAUUUGAUGUAUCUGUCUUUUAGUGUGUAACUAGUAGCAAAUUUUUCCUAUAAAUUGAAGGGUUUUCUUCAUUGUAGAUUAUCCCUUAAGAAAAGAAAUAAGAAUUACUCUCUCUAUUCUAUCUAUACUUCUUCUUUAUUCUUUCUUGCUUUAUAACAAAAAAUUUAAACUCUCCUAUAAUCGAUUAAAUAUUUCUUACUUAAUAUAUUAUUUUAAAAAUCUAUCAUUAUUAGAAUCAAGAUUUUGAAUUGACAUUGACCAUAAAAAAUAGAUUUUUCUUAAAAAUAAUAAUUUCCCUUAAAACAAAAUAAAUUAUUAUUUUCAUUGAAAUCAUAUUGUUAAAAAAUGGACUUUUAUUUAAAAUUUUCUUUAGCUUAAAACUUUAUGAAAUAAAAAAUGAUUUUCAAAAAUCGCUCGAUAUAAGUUUGAUAAAUUAAUAAAUUGUAAAGUUAGUCAUCCUUUUUAAGUUAGUCAAAAAUAAUCUUUUGGUGAACCGUUUUUAAAAGGACGCUCCUAAGUGCCUCAAAAAUUUUCUUAGGGCAUUAAUUGAACCCUUACUCAGUCUCUGUAAUUUCAAGGAUUUAUUUCUAUUUUUGAAUCUUUGAAAUUCCUUUAAGUUUUCUUGAUAGUUUUCAUAAAAAUCAAGUGGAGACUCUGCAAAAAUUAUUUCAAAAUUUUAUUAAAUUUUUUUGAAAUAGUUUGAAAAAGUCAAACCCAUUUUCUUAAAAACGAAACCCGAAAAGGGUUAAAAUAACUGGGGCAGAAUUUUUGAAAGGGUUUCAAAAAUUCUAUGAUUCUACAAGUUUAAGACGGACCAGACAUGCAAUUGGGGAAGAAUUUUUUAGAGGGUCUAAAAAAUUCUAUCAAGGAGCAUUUCAACAAAUUCAAGGCUAGCAAGAUUGAGGCCAUGAAACUGGGACAGAAAUUUUUGAGGAAUCCUCAAAAAUUUCAUCAAGGAUUGCAUCUCAAGAAAGUGAUAUAAAGACAAUAGACUCAAAAAUUGAAUAAAAGAGCUGGCAGAGACACGAAUCAAUCCUUCCCCUUUUUUAAAACUAACAAUUUUUCUUUGAGUUCAGGAAUAGAGUGACGAGUACAAAUCUUGAUUACACUAUACAUCGUCAGAAGAUAUAAGGUUAAGUAUUGUCGUUCUGUAUUUUGAGUAAGUUAAGCACUACCCUCUCGAGAGAAACUGCUUGAGGCUAAGCAUUGCCCUUGAAAAUUUAAUUGGGUUAAGCAUUACCCUCUCUCAACAAAUCAUUCGAACUAAGCAUUGUCUCGAAAACUCGAUGGAGCUAAGCACUACUCUAUCAAAAACUCUCUAAGGCUAAGCAUUGUCCUUAGAAAGUUAAGUGGGUUAAGCACUACCCUCUUUCGAGAAACUGACUAAGGCUAGGAUUGUCCUUGAAAGUUAGUUGGGUUAAGCACUACCCUCUCUCGAGAAAUCAUCCGAACUAAGAAUUGUUUCGGAAACUCGAUGGAGUUAAGCACUACUCUAUCAAAAACUCUCUACGGCUAAGCAUUGUCCUUGGAAAGUUAAGUAGGUUAAGCACUACCUUCUUUCGAGAAAUUGACUAAGACUAAGCAUUGUCCUUGAAAGUUAGUUGGGUUAAGCACUACCCUCUCUCAAGAAAUCAUCCGAACUAAGCAUUGUUUGGGAAACUCGACGGAUUUAAGCACUACUCUAUCAAAAACUCUCUAAGGCUAACCAUUGUCUUUGAAAAGUUAAGUAGUUUAAGCACUACCUUCUUUUGAGAAACUGACUAAGGCUAAGCAUUGUCCUAAAAAGUUAGUUAAGUUAAGCACUACCCUCUCUCGAGAAAUCAUCCGUACUAAGCAUUAUUUUGGAAACUCGAUGGAGUUAAGCACUACUCUAUCAAAAACUCUCUAAGGCUAAGCAUUGUCCUUGGAAAGUUAGGUGGGUUAAGUACUACCCUCUUUCGAGAAAUUGACUGAGGCUAAGCAUUGUCCUUGAAAGUUAGUUGGGUUAAGCACUACCCUCUUUCGAGAAAUCAUCCGAACUAAGCAUAAUUUCGAAAACUUGAUGGAGUUAAGCACUACUCUAUCAAAAACUCUCUAAGGCUAAGCAUUGUUCUUGGAAAGUUAAGUGGGUUAAGCACUACCUUCUUUCGAGAAACAGACUAAGGUUAAGCAGUGUCCUUGGAAAGGGUUAAGCUCUACCCUCUCUCGAGGAAUUAUCCAAGGCUAAGCAUUAUCCUCUUGAAGUCGAUCGAUUUACUCAAAGACGAACAUUGUUUUCUAAUACUGAACAUGCUAAGCACAACUUCCUCAACGUUAUUAAAUGCUACUGCUUUACUGGACAUAGUGUGGAUUAAGCACAACCUUUUCAAAUCUAUAUGAACAAAACAUUGCUCUCUUAUGACUGCCUCUCUUGCCAUUAUUGUUAUGGUUGUUUUCACUACAUUGUUCAAUCUUAUAUACAUACAUAUAUAUCUAUGCUACCCAUUUUAUCCAGUUGAGCUAAAAAUGGCAGGACUAACAGGUACAAAUUACUCCAUCACGAGCAGCCAAACAGAUGAUCCCACAAUUCUAUAGUGCAUCUAGAAGCCAAAAAACUGAUCCCACGAUUCCAUAGUGUAUCGAGAAGUGCGAAAGCUGAUCCCACGAUGAGAAGCCAAAUAGUUGAUCCCACGAUUCCAUAGUGCAUCGAGAAGCCCAAAAAGCUGAUCCUACAAUGAGAAGCCAAACAACUGAUCCCAUAGUGCAUCGAGAAGCCAAAUCAAUGAUCCCACGAUACAACAGAUACUCUUUCUUAUUAUCACACUCAUUUUAUGUUUAUCAAUUGUUUAUUUUUUUACAUGCCUUAACCUUUGUUAUCUAGUAUAUGGUAAAGUACGCAGGUAAUAGAGAAGGAAUAACAAACAGAAAUAAUUUUCCUUUCUAUUUUUGAGAUAUCACCGUAUUUAUCUAUCAAUCGCAUUUACCUAACUCAAAACUCACCUACCUUUUAUUUUCGCACCUCUCCUCCUGUCAUUAUUUCCAAAUCAUGUUCAUCUCACCGACCCAUAAUAUCUUUGUUGAAUGCCAGUCCUUUAUUAUUUACACUUUUUAGGAAUAUUGUUUAUUCCUAAAUCUAGAACUAUAAAUGGCCUGAUUCUCGUAAAAUCAGAGAUAUGUAGGCGACUUGAAAUUCAAGUCUCAGCCACGUUAUUUUUAAGACCACCUCCUAUUGCUUUAACCCCGAUGAAUCGUUAUCGGUCAGACAAAAUUGACUACUACGUCAACUUUCGUUGCUUGACAGUUCUUUUAUCAUUCCCAAACAACGAAAGGGCAGCUGUUGAGACCCAAUUUUGAUCGCCCUAUGCUGUUUUUAGUCUGCUAUUUUAGCAAAAUUAUUUAAUUUUAAAUAUUAAUAUUUUUACACUUUAUUCUUAUAUUAAAUAGAUAUUGACGUGUCACGUUAAUGAUUUAAAAAAUAUACAAAUUAUUUUAUUAUUUUUUAAUAUCAUUUUUAUAAUUUUUAACUCAAAUAUGACAUUUUACCUAAUUUUAUUAAUAUUUAUUAGAUUUUUUUCACAUAAUUAUGCACACUCACAUUUUACAAAUAUAUUGUCUAGUUUUUCAUUAUUAUUACUAUUAUUAUUAUUAUUAUUAUUAUUAUUAUUAAAAUAGUAGCCUAAUUCAAAUUGAUUUUCUUAAUUUAUUUAAAUUCUGGCCAAUUGUGUUCAAUCAAUAUCAAUCUUAGCCAAAUUGAUGACAUUUUUAAUUAAAUUGACCGCUUUUUAAAUAGUUUUAAUAUCAGCCGUUGAUCCAAAAUGAUCCAACGGCUGAUAUCAAUCUUUCACCCCCUUUCCUUUUUUAACUCAAAACCCAAAACCUAAUUCAUUCAACCAAACAACAGCCGCAGCCUCACCUCCUCUUUCUCUCUCCUCUCUCUAACCUCUUUCUACUCUCUCUCUUUCUCAAAAAAAAAAGAGCCGACCAAGCCAUCACCCGCGCCGGCCACCAUGGCUGGUGAGCGUACCAGCCACCAACAGUGAACCCAUCUCUAUUUCUCUCUUCAACCAGCAAUCACCAGCCACUAGCCACCACUUCCCCAUAGCCGACCACCCUUUUCUCCCUCUCUUUCUCUUUGAAAACCACUAGAAAAACCCAUGCUCCGGCGAGCAGCGCCUGCUGGCGUCGGAGCCCUUCACCAUCUUCCUCCGUCUAUCUCUCUCAAGCUUCCUCCGUUUGUCAUCUUUUUGAAGGAACCAGCCGACGACAACGCUUCCCACCAAGCCUUCACCGCCUUCGAUCCGCCGUUGCUGCCGCCGGUGGACAACAAUAGCUACACCAACAACCCCCGCGCCACCAGCUUCCAAACCCCAUCACCGCCGGAGAAGACAGCAAAACCAGCAGUCCUCCACGCGCCAACAGCAAUCAAAGGAUUAGCCGCCGCUGCCGCUCCAUUCCCCUCUCCCCACCAGUCACCCAUUGGAGACUCCCAUCCCUCGCUCGUCGUCUCUUCUCCGACCAACGGCAACGUAACUAUUAAGUAUGGCGGAUUCGAAUAGGUGAAUCCGUCUCAGGUUUGUUUUGCAUGUUUAAGUUUUGCCUACAACCUCUACUACCUUUCUUUUGCUUUGUCGUUGACAGAUUUUUCUUUUCUUUACUAUUAUCCGGGAUUGGUGAGUUAUGUUGCGAUUUUGCUUACAUCUCUUGGGGAUUUGGUGUAUAUUUGAACGUCUAUGCAAUCAUGUCAAUUAUAUGAGCUUCUACUGACCUUAGACUUUAACUGGGAUUUGUUCAACUUCAAAGAACCCUCGGACCUUCUUUUGAUGCUUAUUCAUAUUUUUUUGAAGCCUUAUAACUGUAAAAUGAAAUAUGGUUUGGUUGAGGGAAUCGCUAGCAUAAUUACAACAGUUUUGAUUCUUUUUGGUGGUUUGUGAUUAUUUUGUUACCUUAAUGAUCAUCCUUUGAUUAUGGCAUAACUUGUUUGAUCGGACAGUUUUGGUGACCUUUUUUACACCCUUAAUUGUGGUUUAAUUUAUAUGUUUAAAUUAGAAUCAAAUUGAAUAUUAUGUGAUUAAUGGAUUAUCCGAUUUUCUUCUAUGGUAAAACCUUGACAAUUUAUUUUUCUUUAAUCUGCUCCUUCCCUUUGUUGCUUAUGUUAUAUGUCUCUCUAAUAAAAUAAUUUUAGCAUCUAAUUAUGUUGGAAUUUAAAGUUGAUUGACGAUGAUAUUCUUGAUCAUGUUUCUUUUAAAUUAAUUGUUAUAUAAGGUAAAUGUUAAUUGCUUGGUGUUCUAUUUUAUUUACUCUCCUUUUAAUUAUUAACACAUAUUUUUUUACUUGCUCAUUUAUGGUAAAUGUGUUGUUAAUUGAUUUACUCUACCUAAUUAAGGAGAGAAAAUUAUUGAUUGAUUCUUUCAAGUAUUUAUUUUUUCUUUUAUUUCUCUGGCGAAUUUUUACAUGAUUGAUUGAUUUGUUUAUUUAGAGAAACAAUCUCCUUAAUUGACAGAGAGAAAAUAUUUCCUUCCCUUUAUCCUCUAGCCCCCUUUAAUACUAUAUAAACAACCCUCUUUCUCUUAUUUUAAGGACAUAACUGACAACUUACAAACAUACACUCCCGGAUACGAAAAACUUUAAGCAAACAAAAGUUUUACUUUAUUUCUUGUCUUAGCUGUACUUAUUUUUCUGAGCAUUGGUCUUGAUCGAUCUUUAUUCUUCCGUGGGAAUUUGCUUGAACUUUGCUCUACCUGAUUUUCUUAUUAUUACUUAUUAUCGUCAAUCGGUAAGUCCUUAUUGCCGCACUUUCAUUUACACUUAAGUGAUGAUAGAAAGUAUGUCCAUAGGAAUUGUUCUGUAUUUUGUUUGCUAUGUCAUUGCUUGGUUAUUUUUAUCCAUGGAAUAAUGCCACAAUACUCUCGUUUGUCUCUUUGUAUUUGCCAUGCUGUUUUUAUUGUGUUUAACAGGUUGGGAUUUGAAGAGUCACCCGAGGUGUUUGGGAUGGACUAUAUUACUCCCUUCUAGUUUAGUUGUUUCUUUCUCUUUAUAUUGGCCUGUAAUAUUGUAUAAACGCUAUUUUAUUGUAAUAAUAAUAAUUGGGGACUGCAUGGUGCAGGGAUUUACGUGCUCGUUAGUGGACUCUUGCACUUUAAAAACGAAUGUCACUAAUAGUUUUCAACAUGUAAACUUUUAAUUUCCAACAUUGUCAUUGGUCGGUCCCAUGUCUUGCACAAAUAACAUCAAUAAAUAUAACUAUGCAUUUACUCUACUUUGACGUGUCUUUUAUUCAUAACAAAUUUACAUUAUUUUAAAAUGAUUUACGCCGACGAGUGAUCAUGUAACAUCUAGAUGCAUUUACUCUACUUUGACGUGUCUUUUAUUCAUAACAAAUUUACAUUAUUUUAAAAUGAUCUACGCCGACGAGUGAUCAUGUAACAUCUAGAUACCAUGCGUAUAGGCUUAACUAUCAUUUACAUAAUAAAUUAGUGUUUUAUCCUUUCACGUUUGCUUAACUUUGACAUGCCUUUUAUUCUCAACGAGUUUUUACAACAUUGUUUAAAUAUUUUGACAAUUACUUUUCAAUGAAUAAUUGUGUGACAUUUAGAUAUCAUGUCUAUAGGUUAAUGACACAAAAUAAGUUAUUAUUUGUUGUUGUAUGUCAAUCACAUUAAUCAACUUCUUUAAUAAUCAAGGGGCUAACUUGGGACAACUAUGUACUACGUGACAUCCUAUUUGUAUCGCGCUUUGAGUCUUAGGAAAACAUAGCUUUUGUUUGUCUAGACCAAAAAUUCAAAUUAGUAAAGCUCAAUGCCUCUUGGGCGAUAAGUGGGAUGAUAGGUACUUUAAAGAUGCUAGUUUUAUCCUUUCUUUAGAACGUUCUAGGAUUGACAAUCAGCCUAGGUGGGGUGGGGUGGGUAGUCAUUCGGAAGUGAUGAUCUCCAGAGACAUUACACGAUAUUUGACAUUGUUACUUGUUUAAGAAUUCGGACAGUGGGUUGGAUAAGGAUUAAAUAAGUUGGGGUUCUGAGACCAAAAAUAUUUCUUUGUUUGAUUUGACGAAUUUUUUUUUUCUUUACAUUUACUUUACGUGCUCGUUUGCUUGGGGUAGUUUAGAUCUUUAAAAUUAAUAAAUAUUUUGUUAUAAAUUGCUUUUCCUUAUUUCUCCUCGCUUCUCUACUUUACUUUAUUUGUUAUCUUUUUUAUCACCACCUAGUCAAUGAUUAGAAAUAAUAAGAUAACAUAUUUGUUUAUUCGUUGCUUUAUCACUUAGCUAACAUUAAGUUAAUAAUAAUUAAGUGACCUUUAUUUGAUCACGUAGAAUCCCCACGUAAAAUACGAAUUCAGCUGGGAACCACCUUUUUGGACCUCGAAAGGUGCCUAACACCUUCCUUUUGAAGUAAUUUGAACCUUUACCCGAAUUUCUGGUGAACUGGGACUAAAUAACAAAAUAGGUUAGUAGUUAGCCUAGAUUGGUGCCCUAAUGCACCUUAAUACGUUAGGUGGAGACUCUUCACAUUCUAUCUCAAAACAAUCCCCAAAAGAGUGAUCACGUCGAAUCCCGCUUUUCGUGAGGAAAAUGGAGCGCGACAGAUGUAUCUGAAAAUAAACGUUUUUAGUGAUUCAGAAGAAAUUUUUGUAAUUAGUUUAGUGGGGUGAAAUUUUAAGUAAUAUUGGAAACUUAAGGUGUUGUUUUAGGUAAUUUUUGUUUUUGAAAUAUUUAAUGUUUUUUAAUUUUUGCUCCAACUUUUUGUUGGGCUAAAAAAAUUGAUUUUCUUUUAAAGAUUCAAUACAAUUGUAUAGAAACUGUACAAUUAUUGUAUAGAAAUAUGUAUAUGCAUAAUAUAUAAGUUUAAAAUUAUAUAGGUUGUGUGUAGAAAUUGUAUAACUAUUGUAUAGAAUAUGUAUCUGA
rnacentral:lncRNA from 1 species